CAGUAGCCACGGUAAUACGUAGGGCGCAAGCGUUAUCCGGAAUUAUUGGGCGUAAAGAGCUCGUAGGCGGUUUGUCGCGUCUGCCGUGAAAGUCCGGGGCUCAACCCCGGAUCUGCGGUGGGUACGGGCAGACUAGAGUGAUGUAGGGGAGACUGGAAUUCCUGGCGUAGCGGUGAAAUGCGCAGAUAUCAGGAGGAACACCGAUGGCGAAGGCAGGUCUCUGGGCAUUAACUGACGCUGAGGAGCGAAAGCAUGGGGAGCGAACAGGAUUAGAUACCCCCGUAGUCCCUGUCUCUUAUAC
rnacentral:rRNA from 1 species